rnacentral:rRNA from 1 species
GACGAACGCUGGCGGCGUGCUUAACACAUGCAAGUCGAACGGAAAGGCCCUGCUUUUGUGGGGUGCUCGAGUGGCGAACGGGUGAGUAACACGUGAGUAGCCUGCCCUUGACUUUGGGAUAACUUCAGGAAACUGGGGCUAAUACCGGAUAGGAGCUCCUGCUGCAUGGUGGGGGUUGGAACGUUUCGGCGGUUGGGGAUGGACUCGCGGCUUAUCAGCUUGUUGGUGGGGUAGUGGCUUACCAAGGCUUUGACGGGUAGCCGGCCUGAGAGGGUGACCGGCCACAUUGGGACUGAGAUACGGCCCAGACUCCUACGGGAGGCAGCAGUGGGGAAUAUUGCACAAUGGGCGGAAGCCUGAUGCAGCAACGCCGCGUGCGGGAUGACGGCCUUCGGGUUGUAAACCGCUUUCGCCUGUGACGAAGCGUGAGUGACGGUAAUGGGUAAAGAAGCACCGGCUAACUACGUG